rnacentral:lncRNA from 1 species
AGACUGCGUUCGGUCCUAGUCUUGGUACAUCGCCGGAAAUUUCGCCCUUUUUGAGUGCUUGAAAACUUUCAGAUGUUAGAAAGGACGCACAAAUAUUGAUAAAUCGACGAUUUGUGGAAUAUAAGUGAAGUAAAAAGAUUUUUUGACUACCUUCUCGAUAUACUUUUCACUUCUCAGACCAAGGAACCAACGUAAUGUUGCGAACUGCCGCGAAGUUAAAGAAGGUAAGCUAGUGACACUUAGCAUUUGAUAAAAUUGUUUUUAAAGUUUGCUUUCAUUGAAAAGUCCAUGGAGUUGAGAAAUUUGAACUAAAUUUCGAACUAAAAUUCUAAAUUAGUCUGUGAAAAUGAGACUUCUCACAACACAGCGCGGCGACCGAUGACCUAACCUCAAAAUUCACGUCUGUCAAUCUCUGUUUACAUUGCUUAUCACUGUACUUAUUCGCAGAGUUUUAGUCCCUAGUUUAUCAGUUGUCCUAAUUUCUACCCUUUCUGCUGUAGUUUGAAUGCAUUAUAAUAUUUCGGUCUCACAGUGAAUGAGCGAACUCAAUGAAAAAAUUCCAUGUGUAUCAGAGAAUGGAGGAGGUGAUGAAUCUCAAUCUAAAGACAGUAUGAUACCAAAGAGAAAGAAAAAACUUUGCAGUCGCACGCAAACCUGUUUUCUUUAUAUUAUUCUUGCAUUCGUUUGCUCCAGUUUUUAUUGUUAGUAUUACUUUUUCCCUCUAAUUUUUAUUUCUCUUUUCUUUUUUUACCUAACUAUUCUGUAGUAUUAGAAAUACCCAAUUUUAAAGAGGCUACACAAGUGGAGAUAUUUUUGAUGUUACAACAAAAAAACUUGUGAAAUAAUUUGUUGUUUUCCACAUGAGGGAAUUACGGUAACUCCCUCAUUUCAAUGCUGCAAAAUGUGCCCUCGCAAAUUGAAUGAUGAAUAUGCAUGCCCUCUGAAAAAUGUCUUUUCAAUGCAUUAAUAGGUAUCCAACCAAGGGGUCAUUCAUAAAAUAUGCGACACUUCAGGGGGAGGCAAUUUGAGGAGAGCAUGACUCCAUUUUGCUCUUAUAUAUUACCUAAAGGAUGUACAAACCUACUCCACCAAAGUGUUACGAAGGGGGCGAAGGUAAAAAAAUGUGAAAUUGAGACAAGUAAUCCGUAUGUUAAAAGUUUA